GUAGUCUCGCACAGAUGCAUAUCAAUAAGCGGAGGAAAAGAAACUAACAAGGAUUCCCUUAGUAACGGCGAGUGAAGCGGGAAGAGCUCAAAUUUGAAAUCUUCAAGGUUUUACCUUGACGAAUUGUAGUUUAAAGAAGUGUUUUCUGUUGAAGUUUUGGUAAAAGUUCUUUGGAAUAGGACAUCAUAGAGGGUGAGAAUCCCGUAUUUGACCAUUAUUUUCAGCUGUGUGAUACACUUUCAAAGAGUCGGAUUGUUUGGGAAUGCAGUCCAAAAUGGGUGGUAAAUUUCAUCUAAAGCUAAAUAUUGGCGAGAGACCGAUAGCGAACAAGUACCGUGAGGGAAAGAUGAAAAGAACUUUGAAAAGAGAGUUAAACAGUACGUGAAAUUGUCAAAAGGGAAGCGUUUGACACCAGUGUUGUUUUCUCGAAGAAUCAAUUAAAAAGAGUUAGAUUUUGUUGUGUAUUGACCUUAACAGCUUGCAUUUCAAUUUUCUUGCUUUUUUUAAUGCACUUUUCGUUUAACAAGUCAACAUCAGUUUCUUUUGUUGUAAAAAGGUCAUUGGAAGGUGGCUUUCUUUUCGGAGAAAGUGUUUAUAGCCUUUGACUCCUGCAAUCGGAGAGACUGAGGUCUGCAGCGUAGAUCCUUCGGGGUUAGAUACAUUUGUGCUAAGUUAUAGCUUUUUAUAGACAACUUGUUGACUAUGAUUAGUCUUGUAGCUUACUCGCUUAUGCUAUUUUACCUACGCUUAGGAUGUUGAGCGCAUGUCUCUCUCU
rnacentral:rRNA from 1 species